UAGCACUUUCAUGAACCUUAGUGGACUAUUCUGUGGCCAUUGAGGUCAAGAGGAGUGCAAGAUCAAAAUGUCUUGUUAUAACUGGGGCUUCUUGGCAAUUUCACCAAGUCUCUCUUUUAAAAGCAAGGCACAGAU
ensembl:snoRNA small nucleolar RNA SNORA50